GAGAGAAAAACAAGCAAGAGAAUUGAAAUGUUUUUUAAUAUCAUGCUGCUUUCUCCUGGUCGUGGAAAUUGAGGACAGUGCCUGUUCUCAGGGAUGUGACCAUGUGAACAAGAAGGCGGCUUUUUGUGCUGAGAGAAGCUGUGAGCUCUUCACCCUUCAGGCUGGACAGUCAUGGGUGAGAAGGCAGAAAAGGAAAGUGGAGAAAAAGAAACAUGAAAAGAUCCUGCCCUAUAUUAAAUACAGAAUGUAGAGAAAAUAA